rnacentral:tRNA from 1 species
GCAGCAGGAGAAACAGGAAACUCAGCGCGCUGCCGAUGCGCAGGCGCAGUUCGAUGCCGCGCUGUCGCAC